AUGAGGUUUUAACAUCAACACACACGUACCAGGAAACGCGAGACAUCUCCAAACAACUCAGUGCUCAUUCACAGGCAUACGCAUGUCACCUCUUGUCAUCUCUUGUCACCAAGUUUUUAUUUCCUAACUGAUACCCAAAUUCUUUUGAGUAAUUUUUACUAGAAGAUGGCCACAGAUAUUCAUAUUCCAAUGAUACUCAGUAGGAAAGUGAAAUAUCAGUAAAAUAUGAGGAGCAAAUUGAUAUGAAUUGAAAAAUAGUGGAUAAAAGUCUGGCAGGCAAAAUCCCAGAGAUCUGCUAGGAUAAAAGUGAGAUAAGGUGCUUGAAGCUUCGUGACAUGGUAACUGCUGGCAGGGCUAGUUGAGGAACUACUGAAACUGGCGAGGCACAGGUGCAGUGGUGCAUAUAUGCAGGUGAUCACCUGAAGUCGUAAGGUUGAAUUAUAAUUGGGUGAAAUAAACCCUCAUGCCUGCAGAGAGUUCCAGUCUGCUGCCGCCUGCUCAACAUCAAGCAUUCCUGACAAGAAAGGAAAUUUGACGGGUUUAUCAUCACCGUCUGACCUGAAUAAUUUAUAGACCUUGUAGUGAGGAUCACACCUAUGUGUUGCCAGGUUGAGGGCUUGGUGAUGUGGCUGACACUUGUGCGUUGCCAGGUUGGGUGGACAGGGUAGUGGGGAUGGUUGCACCCUCACCAAAAGUGUAAGAUGGAUUUCACUGUGCAUAUUUAACACAUUCAAAAAAAAUUAAAUUAUCGGAUGAAUGCAAUUUAA